rnacentral:lncRNA from 1 species
AGAUGAAGAACAACCUGGGCUAUUUCCAGUAGCUGAUUUGAGAUUAGAACAAGCAGUGGAAGUGCAGGAAAUGUUGGAAUAUGUUUUUGAAGCUGACGGGUCGAAAAUUGGUUGUUGUUGAGCGUAGCAAGAUUUGACACAAGGUUGGCAUUGAGUCCAUGUUAGAUCACUCCCGGUGUCGAAAAUGAGGGAAAGAUCUUUUUUUGGGGUUCCAAGUCCGACGUUGACAAUGUAGUUUCCUGUGCCCAGAGGAAGGCCGGAUUGUGCAGGGAGAUUGGCUUUUGACUCUUUUACGCUCUUGUUUUUGUUGGAAGACUUUUUGUCUUUUUUCUUGAAAAGGUCGUAGCUUUGGUCUGUGACGCGGGCUUGUAUUGAGUCCACUCGGGCUUGAUCGUGAGCUAAGAUUUCGGUCAAAGUUGGGGCUUUUGCUCCCUUUUGG